rnacentral:rRNA from 1 species
UACGGAGGAUGCAAGCGUUAUCCGGAUUUAUUGGGUUUAAAGGGUGCGCAGGUUGUUUGAUAAGUCAGUGGUGAAAGUCUGUCGCUUAACGGUAGGAUUGCCAUUGAUACUGUUAGACUUGAAUAUGGAUGAGGUAGGCGGAAUGUGUAGUGUAGCGGUGAAAUGCAUAGAUAUUGCACAGAACACCGAUUGCGAAGGCAGCUUACUAAUCCAUCAUUGACGCUGAGGCACGAAAGCGUGGGGAUCAAA